UACGUAGGGUGCAAGCGUUGUCCGGAUUUAUUGGGCGUAAAGAGCUCGUAGGCGGUCUGUCGCGUCGGAUGUGAAAACCCAGGGCUCAACCCUGGGCCUGCAUUCGAUACGGGCAGACUAGAGUGUGGCAGGGGAGACUGGAAUUCCUGGUGUAGCGGUGAAAUGCGCAGAUAUCAGGAAGAACACCCGUGGCGAAGGCGGCUCUCUGGGACGGUACUGACGCUGAGACGCGAAAGCGUGGGGAGCGAACAGG
rnacentral:rRNA from 1 species